AUUGAACGCUGGCGGCAGGCCUAACACAUGCAAGUCGAACGAGUGGCGGACGGGUGAGUAAUGUCUGGGAAACUGCCUGAUGGAGGGGGAUAACUACUGGAAACGGUAGCUAAUACCGCAUAUUAUUAAGCAGCCCAUGUCGGAUUAGCUGGUUGGGGGGGUAAAGGCCCACCAAGGCGACGAUCAGUAGCGGUCUGAGAGGAUGAUCGGCCACCUGGGACUGAGACACGGCCCAGACUCCUACGGGAGGCAGCAGUGGGGAAUUUUGGACAAUGGGCGCAAGCCUGAUGCAGCCAUGCCGCGUGUCUGAAGAAGGCCUUCGGGUUGUAAAGUACUUUUGUCAGGGAAGCGGUACCGGAAGAAGAAGCACCGGCUAACUACGUGCCAGCAGCCCGGUAAUUC
rnacentral:rRNA from 1 species